rnacentral:rRNA from 1 species
AUUGAACGCUGGCGGCAGGCUUAACACAUGCAAGUCGAGCGGGGUGAAGUGCUUCGGUACUGAUCCUAGCGGCGGACGGGUGAGUAAUGCUUAGGAAUCUGCCAUUUAGUGGGGGACAACAUUCCGAAAGGAAUGCUAAUACCGCAUACGUCCUACGGGAGAAAGCAGGGGAUCUUCGGACCUUGCGCUAAAUGAUGAGCCUAAGUCGGAUUAGCUAGUUGGUGGGGUAAAGGCCUACCAAGGCGACGAUCUGUAGCGGGUCUGAGAGGAUGAUCCGCCACACUGGGACUGAGACACGGCCCAGACUCCUACGGGAGGCAGCAGUGGGGAAUAUUGGACAAUGGGCGGAAGCCUGAUCCAGCCAUGCCGCGUGUGUGAAGAAGGCCUUUUGGUUGUAAAGCACUUUAAGCGAGGAGGAGGCUACCUGGAUUAAUACUCUAGGAUAGUGGACGUUACUCGCAGAAUAAGCACCGGCUAACUCUGUGCCAGCAGCCGCAGUAACAC